rnacentral:rRNA from 1 species
GCACUUCGGGAUAGCUUGGGAAACUGGGUCUAAUACCGGAUAGGACCACGGUCUGCAUGGAUUGUGGUGGAAAGCUUUUGCGGUGUGGGAUGGGCCCGCGGCCUAUCAGCUUGUUGGUGGGGUGAUGGCCUACCAAGGCGACGACGGGUAGCCGGCCUGAGAGGGUGUCCGGCCACACUGGGACUGAGAUACGGCCCAGACUCCUACGGGAGGCAGCAGUGGGGAAUAUUGCACAAUGGGCGCAAGCCUGAUGCAGCGACGCCGCGUGAGGGAUGACGGCCUUCGGGUUGUAAACCUCUUUCAGUGCCGACGGAGCGUAAGUGACGGUAGGCAUAGAAGAAGCACCGGCCAACUACGUGCCAGCAGCCGCGGUAAUACGUAGGGUGCGAGCGUUGUCCGGAAUUACUGGGCGUAAAGAGCUCGUAGGUGGUUUGUCGCGUUGUUCGUGAAAACUCACAGCUCAACUGUGGGCGUGCGGGCGAUACGGGCAGACUGGAGUACUGCAGGGGAGACUGGAAUUCCUGGUGUAGCGGUGGAGUGCGCAGAUAUCAGGAGGAACACCGGUGGCGAAGGCGGGUCUCUGGGCAGUAACUGACGCUGAGGAGCGAAAGCGUGGGGAGCGAACAGGAUUAGAUACCCUGGUAGUCCACGCCGCACACGGUGGGUACUAGGUGUGGGUUUCCUU